rnacentral:lncRNA from 1 species
UGUGGUGAAGGUUGCCAGAGCCAGUGCAAACCUCCCGGUGGUGGUGGUGUUGCUUCUCUUAUAUCGCAGUCUCUGUUUGAUCAAAUGUUUAAGCACAGAAAUGAAAAUUCUUGCGAAGGAAGAGACAUUUACACUUACAAUGCUUUCAUCACUGCCGCCAAGUCAUUUCCUGCAUUCGGAACUACCGGUGAUACGACCACCCAAAAGAAAGAGAUCGCUGCUUUUCUUGCUCAGACUUCAAAGGAGACCACCGGUAUGCAAAUCUCUUCUCCCUCUCUGUCUCUAAAGCUAUAUUUCA